rnacentral:misc_RNA from 1 species
CGGCAAUGAAAUUAUCUCAGAAAUAAUCUAUCGAAGAAAUAUGAUUCUUCAAUUGAAUGUACAAUUUCUCUUGUAACGUUUGCGCCCAAAAUUGUCCUUAUUCGCGGAAAUGUCUGUUCAAAGAGUUAACAACUAUAUCAGCAGCGUUCUUGACGAACAUCAAAGUUGACUCUUCUAACAAGAAUGUUUCACGGAAGCCUUCUGACGAGGAAGUUCAUCCACAUGAUGUAUGUCACUAGACACUGAUAAAACAUACAGCUGCUGUUCAUAACGGUUUGAAAACAAAGUAACGCGAGCGAACUUGGUGCAGAUCAUCCGCAGCAGCAGCAGCAACCACACCAGCAACAGCAACAACAGCAGUACGGCGA